CAAGAUUCGGUGUCACGGGUUCGGUGUCGAGCAGUCACCUCCGUCGCCGGCGUCGCGCAGUCACCUCUGUCGAGCUGUCACCUCCGUCGCGCAGUCAC